rnacentral:antisense_RNA from 1 species
CUGGCGGAGGCGCGUCUUACCCCUGUGGUGGGUGUCCCGAGGCCGGCGCGUCUGUGGACAGGCAGCGCAGGCCGGAGGGCCUGGGACUCCGGCCUCUGAGAGGCGGGCGGUUGUCGAGGGGAGUCCUUCGUGCCGGCGGGAAGCGCAAGGGUGCCGGAAGCCCGAGGUCCGCCGCCCGGCCACCCCUUCUCGCAUCUUGACUCUGAGAUUUGCUCCGGGUCCGGCGGGGAGACUCGGGGUCGAUCGGGAGUUUAGGGUUGAGAAAACGCCCACUGAGCGGUAGCUCUUGUCUCCUUGACAUCUGAGCCCUGGGAAUUAAGCUCAUGCUCCCUAAAACGGUACCCCUAGACCACAAGUUAAGCAUCUGGGGACGUGACAUUGCACCUGGAGGGGACAGGCUGCAGCCCCAGCACUUAGUAGCCAGCGAGGCAGAGCACGCUGUCCUCCACCGACAUAACCCAGCAAAUACUGCUCGUAGGUAAAGCUUUAAGCACCAUCUUGCAGACAAAGCACGGAAACUCUUAAGCAGGAUGACAGACCUGAAGGUCAAUGUUCUCAACCUUGACGUAAAGAGUCUCACCAUGUGGCCCAGGCUGGAGUGCAGUGGCACCA